ACUGACAGUCUCCUCGCUGCUCCCUACAUCUUCCUCUCCGCCGGAGCUGUCCAGAAGGGGGAUUUUGGACCCAAAGGAAUCGGGAUGAAAGGGGAUCAGAGUGAGAGGCGCUGGCAAUGGACUAGGAAGCUCGGCUGCCGCUGCUACUGCUCCCCCCUGGGCUCCGGCGAGAGCCUUUCCCUGUCAAGCAAGAGGGCCAAGAAGGCAGGGCUGCCGGGGCUGUACAAGAAGAGGCAGCAGCCUCCUACAGCACCACUACAGGCACUGCGAGGACAUAACACCAGAGAGCUGCUCCUCUGCCCUCCGAAACGACAACUUUCCUACCAUCUUGGAGGCAGAGCAAAGGGGGGCCAGGGGGAAAAGUGCACCCGCUCCCGAUAAAGUACAAAUUUUUACUUCUCAUCUCUGGAAAAAAGUCCACACCGGCCGUCUACACCCGCGCCUGGGGGAGAAAGCAGGGAAGAAACGGGGGGUGCAUGAGAAACGUUUUCAUUUGCUCCAGGGGGAAAAAUGUUUCUGCAUCUUCUGAUGGAAAGAAAUCUUUACAAGACACAGGUUUUCCGGGCUAAGUUCUGUGGCUGGUGGUCAGUUUGUAAAUUUAUACUUAAAGAGACUUAAUAGUAACUUCAUUUAUUUGUCUGGUUAUGUUAUUGUAUAUAUAAAUAUUUAUGUUUUCAUAUAUUGCAUAUAAAAAUUUGUGUUACAUGUUACUCUCAGAACAGAUUGCUGUAAGACAAUUGUAAAAAAACAUGUCUUUCGUCUGUUUCUCAAAGCAAUGUAAAUAAAACCUAUGGACUGUCCAGAAAGGCAUGAUACAGUGUGUCAUUUUCCACAGUGCAGAUAAAGGCAGCUAUCACUGGGGAUUUAAAAACGGCCCCUGUUUCUGGAAAUUCUGUUAUGCUGCCCAUACAGAAAGGAUACAGUAAAACUGGAAAGAGAUUUUAAAGACAGCCUUAGAUUUUUCUUGAGGUAAAAUAGCUUAUUAAGAAUUAUAUCCGGGCAUUUAAUUUUUUUAUUUAUUUAGAUUCUUUAAACUCUAGCUAGAUCUUUGGUGCAUUACACAUGUUGCUAUCUGCUUUUUGUGUCACAGAAUUGAGAAAUGUGGCUAUUUUUGUUAGUUAUGUUAGUUCAGAACUUCCAAUGUGCUGCCAGCCUGUAUGAUAGACUUUUUGUAUAUUGCAGUGGAUGUCAUGAAUUUACUUUUUUAAAUGAGCAAAGCUUACUAGAUAAAUGGGAUCAGAGUUAAACAAUGCUGUUAGCACAGAGGUGAGAGGGACAAAGGGUACCCAUUUACAUCGAUUCCAAUAGAACGCUUAUUGGAGGAUAAAUUGCAGAGACAUUUUUCUAUUUUUGUGAAGAAAGAGAAAAAUAAUAGAAAAAGAACCGACUAUCUUUGUAUGUUCUACUGGGGAUGAUGAUUUAAAUCUUGUAUUAAAAGUUAUUUUUCUAACACAUGUUGACUAACCUGGCAGGAAUGAAUUUGUUAUAUUAGUGCCCUGAAUCAGUAGAAUAUUUAAUUUCUUUGUAAAAUUUAUUACACAACAUUUAGAAAUAACUUCCAAAUUUAGAAAUUGUCCUGAUUUAAAAGUGAGUUCAUGUAAUGCAUAUAUCGGAUAUUUAUUAGUUUCUAGCUGAACCUUAUCUUUAUCAUAUAACUUUGAAUAUAGUACUUACCUAAAUAUUCUGGAUUUUCUUUUUUUUUUUUUUUUUUUUUUUGAGACGGAGUCUUGCUCUUUCGCCCAGGCUGGAGUGCAGUGGCCCGAUCUCAGCUCACUGCAAGCUCCGCCUCCUGGGUUCACG
rnacentral:lncRNA from 1 species